rnacentral:rRNA from 1 species
CUACGGGACGCUCCAGUAAGGAAUCUUGCGCAAUGGGGGAAACCCUGACGCAGCGACGCCGCGUGGGUGAUGAAGGCCUUCGGGUCGUAAAGCCCUGUCGAGUGGGAAGAACCGUACCUGGGUUAAUAGCCUAGGUACCUGACGGUACCACCAAAGGAAGCACCGGCCAACUCCGUGCCAGCAGCCGCGGUAAUACGGAGGGUGCAAGCGUUGUGUCGGAAUAACUGGGCGUAAAGGGCGCGCAGGCGGUUGGAUAAGUCAGAUGUGAAAUCCCUGGGCUCAACCCAGGAAGUGCAUUUGAAACUGUCCAUCUUGAGUACGGGAGAGGGAAGCGGAAUUCCGAGUGUAGAGGUGAAAUUCGUAGAUAUUCGGAGGAACACCGGUGGCGAAGGCGGCUUCCUGGACCGAUACUGACGCUGAGGCGCGAAAGCGUGGGGAGCAAACAGGAUUAGAUACCCUAGUAGUC